rnacentral:rRNA from 1 species
GACGAACGCUGGCGGCGUGCUUAACACAUGCAAGUCGAACGGGUCUGCCCUGUUUUUUGCGGGGUGGGUCAGUGGCGAACGGGUGAGUAACACGUGAGUAACCUGCCCCUCACUUCUGGAUAACCGCUUGAAAGGGUGGCUAAUACGGGGUGUUCUGGCUGUGCCGCAUGGUGUGGCUGGGAAAGAUUCACUUUUGUGGUGUUUUGGUGGGGGAUGGGCUCGCGGCCUAUCAGCUUGUUGGUGGGGUGAUGGCCUGCCAAGGCUUUGACGGGUAGCCGGCCGGGGAGGGUGGGCGGUCACACUGGGACUGAGAGACGGCCCAGACUCCUGCGGGAGGCAGCAGUGGGGGGUAUUGCACAAUGGGCGGAAGCCUGAUGCAGCGACGUCGCGUGAGGGAUGGAGGCCUUCGGGUUGUGAACCUCUUUCGCCGGUGAAGAAGGUCCUGCUCUUUGUGGUGGGGUUGACGGUAGCCGGGUUAUGAAGCGCCGGCUAACUACGUG